UACGUAGGGUGCGAGCGUUGUCCGGAAUUAUUGGGCGUAACGGGCUCGUAGGCGGUUUGUCGCGUCGGGAGUGAAAACCUUGGGCUUAACUCAGGGCUUGCUUUCGAUACGGGCAGACUAGAGGUAUGCAGGGGAGAACGGAAUUCCUGGUGUAGCGGUGAAAUGCGCAGAUAUCAGGAGGAACACCGGUGGCGAAGGCGGUUCUCUGGGCAUGAUCUGACGCUGAGGAGCGAAAGUGUGGGGAGCGAACAGG
rnacentral:rRNA from 1 species